rnacentral:misc_RNA from 1 species
CCACGCCUAGCGAGUAGUCCUUAUCUUCAUCGCCAUUAUCCGCGGCUGUCUGUGUGAGAGCCAAGGAGACGGCGUCUUUCUGCCUCCCUCCUCCUUUUUGAAUCCUAGUUUGCGCAUUCCCACCGCUCCUUACACGCUCUCUUCGUGCGCUUCUCUCUACUCUCUGUGUGCCUCCCCUGUCGACCUGUGCGCAGCCCCUCUCCCUUUCCCUCAUUGUCCCCCUUCUCCCUACACGCCCAUCCCCUUGACGCGUCAUUCUUGACGAAGCGCACAUCGAGAUUGACACGCGUGCUGCAGUCAGUGAGGGAGGCACCGCCUGUCUUUGCAAUGACCCGUCACAGCAAAUCUGUGAGGGCGGCUUCGGCUGGCGUGGUGCUGGCAAUGAUUGUGAUGGCGGCACUGUGCUGCACGUCAGCGGUGUGCGCCCCUGCCACCGCGCGCACGAGCUUCGAAAACGGACGCCGAUUUGCGGCGAUUCCGGAGAUGCCUGCGGUGGUGAAGCAGAUCUGGAGUGUGCCGCCGAACUCCGCUGCGGGCGCAGGCAGGCCGUCGCACGUGAUGGUGAACGCGCCCCCCAAGUACGAGUGGGCCGAUCAGGAGUAUCCGCCAAACAGCGCUUCGCAAACGGAGCUCACGCUGGCGUUGGCGGCGGAACGUGUGCACAAAGACGCAGACCACGUUCGUGCCUCCUCGCCCGGCGUCGUUGCUAUGAAUACUGCUGCGAUCGCUCCGGCCGAUCAGCCGCACAUAAUGCCAGCGGCCUUGCCCGCGCAGCUCCUGCGCAGCCCUCUCGCAAAUGGAGAGGCCGCGCCCUCGCUGGAGCAGCUCAGCAAGGUAUUGAGCUUGUUGCCGAGUCACCAGCGCAAACAGCUGGUGCAGCCCUCGUACAGGGCCACCGGGCAACUCGCAGUGGAGCAGGACGGCCAAAAGAUCGCAGUGGAGGUGGCACCUGCGGCAUUGACGGCAUACGCUGGCUCCUCCGGCUCCUCUGAGGGGUCGACGAGCCGAGAGGACAAUCGCGGUGCCAUCCUUUCCAGCGGCGUAAUCGCCUCCUUCACCGUCGCUCUCACCUUCGCCGGCCUGCUGCUGAUCUUGGUGUUGGCAGAGGCUUGCGCAAUGGCCAGCGCGUUCAUGGAGGAUCGCCGGAUGCGUGCGACCCGAGAUGCGAAGGGUGCCGAUAACCCCGUCGAGCCCAAGAACGGCGACUUCCGCGAUACCGCCGUCGAUGUGUAGGUUUAAUGUCGGCACUUCGUGCUCGGUGGCGGGGAGUGCGCGACUCGGGGUGGGGGACGGCCUAAGAGGGGGAUGAGGCGUCAAAGUUGGAGUGGGCACGCGAGUGCGUGUGCGCUUGAGCUGCCGGCGGCGGAGGCGAGGAACGCGCAAGACGCAGGAGUGGCAGUGGCUCUGAUAGUAGAGUCAAGGUGAGAGGGGAUGCAAAGGAGAUGCAGGGCGCCGGCAAAUGGUGCGCCCUGCAUCUCAUCCCCAUUUCCCUUCCGCGCCACGUCUUCUUCUCUUCGUGCUCUUUCCAUCGCUGCUUUCCUGGUCGGAUGCGCCCACAGGUGUGCACGCGCGCGUGUGGUGUGUGCGUGCGUACUUGAGAUGGCCACACUGUCCUGUACGAUCUGACCGCCGCCACCGACACCGCCCUCCCUCCCUCCCUUUCUCCUUUCUCUUGUCUCAUUCUCGCUGGACUCUACUUCCGUCUUCGUUUCGCUUCUCUUAUCUCUCUUCUCUCCAUCUCCCCUUUAAUGGGUACGCGGGCUGCGGUCUGCUUGGUGCUUCAUUGUCACCCUGUGCGCCGCUCUCCUCCGGUCGUUUGCCAUUGGAAG